AUUAAUAAGCGGAGGAAAAGAAACUAACCAGGAUUCCCUUAGUAACGGCGAGUGAAGCGGGAAUAGCCCAGCACCGAAUCCGGCGCCGAUGCGGCGCACGGAACUGUGGUGUUCAGGACCGAGCAUGCUCUUCGGUCCGGCGUCCGAGUCCUCCUGAUCGGGGCUUUGCCAGAGCGGGUGUCAGCCCUCUACGGCGCCGGACCGUCGCGCCCGCGACGUCCUCGGAGUCGGGUUGUUUGAUAAUGCAGCCCAAAGCGGGUGGUAAACUCCAUCUAAGGCUAAAUACGGACACGAGUCCGAUAGCGAACAAGUACCGUGAGGGAAAGUU
rnacentral:rRNA from 1 species